ACGCUCGACACCUACGGAAGGCAGCAGUGGGGAAUAUUGCACAAUGGAGGAAACUCUGAUGCAGCGAUGCCGCGUGAGGGAAGAAGGUUUUCGGAUUGUAAACCUCUGUCUUUGGGGACGAUAAUGACGGUACCCAAGGAGGAAGCUCCGGCUAACUACGUGCCAGCAGCCGNGGUAAUCUGAGGCGGGUCGUGGCAAGGC
rnacentral:rRNA from 1 species